rnacentral:tRNA from 1 species
GCUUAGUUGGUAAAGCACAAGGCUCUUAACCUUGUGGGCGUGAAUUCAAGCCCCAU